AGGAAAUCCAUGGAUUGCAAGAGGGUGAAAAGGAACGCUGGUUGGAGCUCGAUUAAACUAAAUGGUAUUGCUCAUGAGUUUGUUGCAGGAGAUGAUUUGCAUCCUCAAACCCAGGAGAUAUACCUAGUUCUAAAUGGAAUUACAGAACAUCAACUUCAAGCAUGACCCGAAACAACUCCCAGUUGAGAUUAGGAAAUCCAUGGAUUGCAAGAGGGUGAAAAGGAACGCUGGUUGGAGCUCGAUUAAACUAAAUGGAAUUGCUCAUGAGUUUGUUGCAGGAGAUGAUUUGCAUCCUCAAACCCAGGAGAUAUACCUAGUUCUACAUGGAAUUACAGAACAUCAACUUCAAGCAUGACCCGAAACAACUCCCAGUUGAGAUUAGGAAAUCCAUGGAUUGCAAGAGGGUG
rnacentral:lncRNA from 1 species